GAUGAAGAACGCAGCGAAAUGCGAUAAGUAAUGUGAAUUGCAGAAUUCAGUGAAUCAUCGAAUCUUUGAACGCACAUUGCGCCCUCUGGUAUUCCGGGGGGCAUGCCUGUUCGAGCGUCAUUACAACCCUCAAGCUCUGCUUGGUAUUAGGCCUCACCUGCUAAGGCGGGCCGUAAAAUCAGUGGCGGUGCCAUUCGGCUUCAAGCGUAGUAAUUUUCUCGCUUUGGAUAACCGGUUGUGUGCCUGCCAACAACCCCAAUUUUUUUUAAAGGUUGACCUCGGAUCAGGUAGGGAUACCCGCUGAACUUAAGCAUAUCAAUAAGCGGAGGA
rnacentral:misc_RNA from 1 species